rnacentral:rRNA from 1 species
GGAUUAGAUACCCUGGUAGUCCACGCCGUAAACGAUGUCAACUAGUUGUUGGGCCUAUUAAAAGGUUUAGUGACGCAGCAAACGCGAUAAGUUGACCGCCUGGGGAGUACGGUCGCAAGACUAAAACUCAAAUGAAUUGACGGGGGCCCGCACAAGCGGUGGAGCAUGUGGUUUAAUUCGAUGCAACGCGAAGAACCUUACCAGGUCUUGACAUCCAGAGAAUCUUUUAGAGAUAAGAGAGUGCCUUCGGGAAUUCUGAGACAGGUGCUGCAUGGCUGUCGUCAGCUCGUGCCG